AAUCAAAAGAUUAGUCAUGUUUGUUUUUUAAAUAUAUAAAUCAAUAUACUAUAUUUCUCAUGGAUCACUAGGUAUGAAUCAUAGUAGCUAUAAGGAUCGUUCAGUCUACAAGAAGUAUUGAGCUUAUCUAUACUUUUACCUGGCUAUUAUUUAUCGUAGUAACAUAGCAGUUGUGGAGUUUUUCCGUAAUCUUUCUCAUUUCAAUUGCGUCGUCUAUUUUCUUGAUAGAAAAUUAAUAAUUGUGUCAAAAUAGUUGAAAUUUAUCCAAAAAAAAUCAGUAGGAUCACCGAAGCCCUUCAUACUCUUCCUAAUUAUACAAAAACAUAUACAUUAUGAGUUUGUGUUUGGAGAUCAACACAUCUCAAGUUAUUUAAGCUCAUAACAUCUAGUUUUAAGGGCAUUGAAGAAAAGCCUGCCUCCUCUCACAUAAAAUCUUGCUUAUGCCUUAUUUAAAUUGUAUAAAUGAUUUUUUUUGCUUGUACUGUGCUAUGCUUGUGUUUAUCUAGAAAUGGAAUGCUAUAUCAUUCUUGAUGCAUAAUCUCAUAUCCUUAUAUUCCGUUGAAGAAGAAUUAUUAAUGGAAAAAAUAAAAGAACAUUAUGACUUUUUAUCAUGUUUGAUCACUCAACUAUAAUUUAACAUGUAUGAGUUGGUUGAUCAGUUACGUAAUAAAUGGUGUAUCUGUGCAGCCUAAUAACUUUUUUACUAUGUAUUUAUUUAUUCAAUAUCUUUUAUUGUAAGUUAUGCGUGAAAGGGACCACUUCUCUCUGUUUAUAACCAAAGGAUUCACAUCCUACUUAAAGAUAAAAAGUAGACACAAGGUACGUCAUUUGCUUAUUCCGUAAUUAUCUUUCUGAAUUGUAUUAUUUCUUCUGUUUUAACAAUAAGAAGCAGCAUUGAAGUGCUUGUUACACAUAACUAAAGAAAAUGUUAUUUGGACUAGAGAGUAUUUCUUAGGGUGAUAUUAUUCAUAGAUGAUGGCCAUAAGAAAAACUUUCAACGUACUUAAAAACUGGGUAGAGUCCAACAUGAAUGAAUGCACAAAUGGUGAAGGAAUUUCUUGUGAUGAAUGUUUUGGUUAAGCUAUCUGAAUCAGUUUUCCCUAGUUUUUUGUUGAGUUUCUUCAAACUGCUUAAGUUUUUAUGUUAAAAAAGUUCUUUGUUAAUUAUUUUCCUCUUUUUAUAAUGUAUAUGAUUAUUUUGUGCGUUGUAUUGCCUAUCAUCUUCAGGUUUCUACCUUCUUUGAGGUUGGGGCAGUUUUGUGUUUGGUCGUUAAAAUAGUGUCUUAUUUUUUUUACCCCGAGGGAGAAAGAAGUAGUUUAAUAUAUGUGCUCAAGGGUUUGGUUUCAUAUCAUUUAAAGUUUUUUUCUGCAGCUUGAUUUUUCUUAGAAUACUUUUACUUUAUACUAAAAGGUAAGAUUAAAGAACUCACACGGACUAAAAAUAUCUAUCUAUCUAUUAUCUGUUGCAUGUUGGAUAAUGUUUUUCGUAUUUAUUAUCUAUCUAUGCGUAUGUUUCUUUAUUUUUUAAUUUGUUGUUAGAAUAAUCUAAGAUAUUUUUUUAUUAAUGGGAUGUAGGUUGGAAACAACAUGAAAAUUCAAGCAUUAUCUAGAAUUUAUAAUCUCCCCAUCCAUAUAUAUUCUUACAGCAUUGUUAUCGUCACGGAAAUCAUUACAACUUUCUUGUUGAUUCUUGUCAAUUAUAAGUUGGUGGCAAGCUUAAAUUUAGUUAUCUAAAAGGCAUACAAGCUAGGAGAAUAAAAUAUGUGGAUUUGAGCAAAAAUGGACCAAAGAAGGGGAAAAAAUGCAGCUAAAAGACCUGGAGCAGUCACAUGACUCAAUUACCACGAUCGUUGUCUGGGGUCUACAAUCACAGACAGUCAAGAAGGUUAAAAGUCCACAAAUGCAAAGUCCUUAUCAUAGUAGCCGCAAUCGCGGAUAAUCUUCUGUGAUCGUGGCUAAGCGAGAAUUUUGCCUAGGGCAGAUUUUUCAUUUCACCUAGACGAAUCCAAAUCUUUAUAUAGGCUAAAACCCUUUGUUCUUUAGGUAUUCUAGAUACUGGAAACACUUUGAAUUUGAAAUUGAAACCCUAAAUUGGGAAAGAAUUGUAAAUUUGAUUUGGA